rnacentral:lncRNA from 1 species
UUUUUAAUAUAUUUUUUAGUUUGUGAUAGACCUUUAUUUAAUUUAUUUAUUUGUAUGUGGUGCUGAGAAUUGAACCCAGUGCCUCACUCAUGCCAGGCAAGUGCGCUACCACUGAGCCACAGCCACAGCUCCUCAGGAGUGGGUUUUGAUAGAGCAAGUUUGGCCCACUGUCUCUUUCUGUGCUCUUUUGCCCUACUGCUUUCUGCUAUGGGAUGUACCAAGCUCUUGCCAUCAGAUGCUGGUACUUGGGUGUUGUACUUUUGGCCUUGGGAACUGUGGCAAAUAAAUUUCUUGUCUUUAUAAAUUACCCAGACUUGGUAUUCUGUUUAGCAAUACAAGACAGACUAAGACAGUAUUACAGUAAGUAAUCUUAUCAUUCUGUAGCUUCUCUUCCCAAAGUUAUGUUUUGAGAUUAAGACCAAACUGAGCUAAUUUAUUUUUUUUUAACUUGCUGUAUAUAUUUUUUCCAUUUCCUUACUGAUGGGUUUUGGGACAUUUGG